CCAUUAUAAAAUAUGUCGUCUUGUUGACGCUAACAUUAUAAUCCCUUUUAAAUUAAUGACGUGAUCUGUCCGUUCUUGUCGUACUGUUAUGUAUCAAGGAUGUGCAGUAAAAUCACACACAAGCCUCCAAAGCACGUAGCCAUAUCUCGCUUCCACAUUAUAAACAGACUCAAGAUACGCAGCCAGAUCUGCUCCUCAGACGAGCGCAGAUAAUAAUUACAUUAAACCAAAACAACUGGAAGAGGCUCUUUUCUCCUUUCAUCCACUGUCUACCCUCAGCGGAGAGCCAGCAGUCAUUGCCAUGCAACACUGACACCAAUGCUCCACUGGCCCAUGGCAAGGUGUAGCCCGACCGGCGAGACCCACAGCGCCUCCACCAGGUUGUACUGGCAGUAGCCCAUCCCGAAGCCGAAGGCCACGUCCGUGACGUUGUGGCGCCCCAGCAGCACGCGGGAGAGGCCCACGGUGACGGCCCAGAGCAGC